GAGUUGAUCGAUGGCUCAGACGAACGGCUGGUGGCGUGUCUUAUACAUGCAAGUCGAGCGAGGCAGCAAUGCCGAGCGGCGAACGGGUGAGUAACGCGUAAGCAAUCUGCCCCAUAUCAGGAAAUACCCGUGCCAACGCGCGGUUAAUGUCCAGGAGAGUGGCCUUCCGCAUGGAAGGUUGACUAGAGAUUUAUCGGUAUGGGAUGAGCUUGCGUCCGAUUAGCUAGUUGGCGGGGCAACGGCCCACCAAGGCGACGAUCGGUAGCCGGCCUGAGAGGGUGAUCGGCCACAUUGGGACUGAGAUACGGCCCAGACUCCUACGGGAGGCAGCAGUAGGGAAUAUUGCACAAUGGGGGAAACCCUGAUGCAGCAACGCCACGUGUGGGAAGAAGCAUUUCGGUGUGUAAACCACUGUCAUGAGGGAAUAAGGCCCGCCUUCGGACGGGAUUGAAUGUACCUUGAGAGGAAGCACCGGCAAACUUCGUGCCAGCCGCGGC
rnacentral:rRNA from 1 species